AACAUACUAUUUUUUAUUUUUUUUCAUUAUGUAAAUCAUUUUUAGAAUUAAUUUUGCUAAAAUAUUUUGUCACCCCUAAGACGACGCCCCCGGGCAUGCCUACCCGUCCCCCCCUGAAUAUAGGCGUGUGUGUGCGUAUGAAUGUUUUGUAAACAAUCGAGAUGCGAUGGAUUUAGUAAACGACGUCUUUAUGCUCAACCUGUCAGUCUAGUUCGGUUUUCUACCGUGUGCACAAAUAUACGUAUUACAAGCGUCGAGUAUUUACAAUUCGAUGGAACGAAAAAUGGAAAUCCUGAAAUUAAAUUAUGAUGAUGACGCUGCUGAUUGUCUGGCACCGAUGUGAACCAUCUGGGAUAACAUUGAAUAUUAUUAAAACAAUUUCCAAUAUCCGAUCCAGGUGCGGUCCCAAUUAGUUCGGAUAAAUUACAUACUAACAAAUUAUAUACUAUCCAUCAUAUUUUGGGUUUAAAACCUUCCCCCCCCCGCGGAUCCGCCACUGAUUCAUAAAUUCGUACGAUCAACCAUUAACCGAAUUAUCACGUCGUACGGGUACUUCGAUUUUACCGAUUUGUCGUACGAAAAAUUGUUAUCACGAACCGUUUUUGUUUACACGAAAUCGCGAGUAGGGCUGAAUGGUUUUCUUAUAAAUGGUCACGUUACGGUGUUUAUGGUGUUACGACAGUUGAUUAGCGCUGGCGAAGUCUGGCCGAGGUCCAGACGGAAUAUUUCUAAAUUUAAAUACUCAAGAUACCGGACGAACCCGGAGCGAUAUUGGUUUCGAGUGGGCACAUUCGUUUCGCUUCGGUCGCGUGUAACAUGUUUGUUUCGCAUGCGUUCGUCGUGUCGAUGUUCCUGUGCCGCGUUGUCGGGCAAGACGAGGACAACGUGCCACUAACCAUAGUUGGCCUGUUCGACGAGGAGAACACUGUCGAGCAACAGAUAUUCGAAUUGGCCGUCCAGAAGGUGAACAUAGACCCGAAUUUUUCCAAUGUAUUUUUGAAAGCCGAAAUCAAAAUUGUCGACUCGGCGGAUUCGUACAUAACUGGCCUGCAAACAUGCGAGAGUAUGGAGUCAGGAAUUGGUGCAGUAUUUGGUCCCUCUCACUUGGAAUCGUCAAAUAUAGUGCAAUCGUUGUGUGAAACUAUGGAAGUUCCACGAAUAGAAGCAAGUUGGGAAAACACUCCUGUUGAAAAUUUCAAUUAUUAUUUCAAUCCUUACCCCGAACCUACGUUAUUAGCAAAAGGUUACACGGCUAUUGUUCACGAUAUGGAUUGGAGGUCGUUCACGUUGUUGUAUCAACAUCCAGAGUGUCUUCAGAGAUUACAAGACUUGAUUCAAGACUACUCAGGCAAAACGAAACCGAACGACAAAUCAGUAGCGGCCAUCUCCAUUAUACAGCUGCCCGAGGGCAAUAAUUUUAGGCCGAUUUUGAAAGACAUCAAAAAAUCUCUGGAAGGCCACAUCGUCCUCGACUGCGACGCGGAAUUAAUAUACACGGUGUUCAAACAAGCGAAAGAAGUGAACUUGUUGGACGACUAUCACAGUUUUAUCAUUACCUCGUUGGACGCGCACACAGUAGACUUCAGCGGCGUCGUGCAAAAUAUACGUACAAACAUAACGACCGUGCGGCUGAUCGAUCCGUCGAACCCGGUCGUGGAGAACAUCGUGAAGGAUUUGAACUUCGUACAGCAACGAAUGAACUUGAACAUAGCUCCGUUGCAAGCCCACAAGCUGACCGUCAAUGCGAUUUUGAUAUACGACGCGGUGAACGUGUACGCCAAAGCGCUCGAGGGACUCGGUAAGACCAGAGUCACCGCGGAACCGUUACAAUGCAAGAGCUCACCAUUUGUCUCGUGGUCCAACGGGUUUAAACUUAUACAUUUCAUGAGGGUCAUCGAAACCGAAGGCUUGUCCGGUCUUAUGCGUUUCGACAAUAGAACCGGUCACCGAUCGUAUUUCACGCUGGACAUGGUCGAACUGGUUGACACGGGUUUUAAAAAAAUUGGCGUUUGGGAUCCGGAAAAAGGUAUGACCUAUACGAGGACCAGCGAAGAGAUGCUUCGUGAUCUAUACGUAGGAAGCAAGAACAAAACGUUUAUUGUCUCGUCGAAGAUCACAGAACCAUACUUGAUGCUUAAAGACGAUCACGCUAAACUAAUUGGCAAUGACAAGUAUGAAGGAUACGUGGUGGAUCUCAUAGCAAUGAUCGCUGAAGAAAUGAAUAUUACGUAUGAAAUUAAUUUGAGAAGUGAUGGAAAUGGAAAACGGGACAAAAAAACCAACAAAUGGAACGGGAUAAUUGGUGAAGUACAAGAAAUGAGAGCGGAUUUAGGUGUUUGUGAUUUAACUAUUACACACGAAAGAAGGUCUGCUGUGGAUUUUACAAUGCCUUUUAUGAACUUGGGCAUUAGCAUAUUGUUCAGUAAACCUGAGGAUCCGCAAACCAAUCUUUUCUCGUUCACCCAACCACUUUCAUUCCAAGUAUGGAUAUUCACUGCAACAGCUUACUUAGGUCUGUCUCUAGUAUUGUUUUUCUUGGCCAGAAUCACACCUAACGAAUGGCAAAACCCUCAUCCAUGUAAUCCUCAUCCGGAAGAAUUAGAGAAUUCCCUUUCGUUGCUUAACUGCUUAUGGUUCUCAAUGGGCUCUAUUCUUUGUCAAGGUAGUGACAUCCUGCCCAGAGCGUUUCCGACCAGACUGUGCGCUGCUAUGUGGUGGUUUUUCGCUCUGAUAAUGACUCAAUCUUAUACUGCCAACUGGACGGCUUUUUUGACAUCGAAUCGAAUGGAAACUCCCAUAAAAAAUGUUGAAGAUCUCGACAAAAAAGGAGGCUUAGGAAACGAUGAUGGAAUCAAAUACGGAUGCGUCACUGAUCAAUCUACCGCCAGUUUUUUUCAAAACUCCGAUGUAAAUUUGUACCAGAAAAUGUGGAGUGCCAUGGAAUCAUAUGGCGAUUCGGUAAUGGUAUCGGACAACAAGCAAGGGGUGGAUAGGGUGAAAAAAGAAAGAAAUCAUUAUGCUUUUUUUAUGGAAUCCAGUUCUAUCGAAUACGAAGUGCAACGGAAUUGCGAUCUUACGGAGGUGGGAUAUUGGCUGGACAACAAGGCGUAUGGUAUCGCUAUGCCGUUCAAUGCUCCGCACAGGACCGCUGUAAAUUUGGCGGUAUUGAAGCUAUCAGAAUCGGGAGCGUUGAUGGCACUAAAGAACAAAUGGUGGUCAGUGUCUGACGACAAAAAGUGUAAGGAUUCAAAAAAAGAUACAGCUGAACUUGACGUUAAUGAAGUUGGUGGUAUGUUUGUAAUUUUAAUACUUGGCUGUCUGAUAGCAUUCUUGUUCUCUAUACUUGAAUUUUUAUGGAACAUAAGAAAAGUGGCUGUUGAAGAAAAGGUUUAGGCAGUCGAGGAGGAUUUCUGCGAUGUUUUCUUCGUAUUGGUAUACUACGACUAAACAUUUGACCCUCUUGGAAGCGUUCAUGGUGGAGUUGAAGUUCGUGCUCAAAUGUCACGGAACGUCCAAACCAGUGAGACACGUAGAAGACAGUUC